GGUGGAAGACACGACCUAGCCUUGAAACUCUGUUGUGAUCUAGGGGUUAAAGGCCUCCUACCCUGCGAAUUAUUAGGAUCCAAUCCAUCCCUAUCCAUAUCCGGGUUCAGCGGAGGCAGUGAAGUCCUCGAAGACGACCAUGAUGCUGACCGCCAGUACAUUCUACUCCGACCAUUUAUCAGUUGGCAUGGCUCCUGAGAACCACC
rnacentral:lncRNA from 1 species